rnacentral:lncRNA from 1 species
AUGGUUAUAAUGAUGAUGUUAAUAAUAAUAAAUAUCAUGCAGCUUUCUCUGACUUCGGAAAUGAGUAAUUGUCCUUCUUCCACAUUUCCAUUAUAUUUUACAAACAACUGUGCUGUUGCACUUAAUUCUUUAUAUUAUAAUCAAGUGUGUUUUAUUUCCCACCUAGGUUGUGACAUUUCUGGAGACAUUUUCUUUCUUUCUUUCUGGAGAUAUAUUUUUGACUCAGAGUCUGAAGAAAUUGUGAUUAAUGUGUACUUAAACAAUCAGUCAAACAAUCAAUUAACCUCGUUUAAUAGACCAAAAAAAUGGAAGCUUUGGAUGCCCAAUUUCAGAAGAAAGAAUGGAGCUGGUGAUGCUAAAGAAGUAAGGAGACAGGGCUCCUACCCUGGUCCAGGGGCCAAAAGGACAAGCAACACAGAAGAUUCUCAGAAGCUGAGGAUAUGGUAACAUUUCCUCUUCUGGCGUGCAUAAUAAGUUCUAUGAUCUGCUGAGUACAAAGAUGGACCCAAGAGAACCAAAUGAACUCCCUGAAUGUACAGUCAGAGCUGGCCAGGGCAAGGCAAAGAGCUAGGGAAGGAAAUGCAUUUCUUUCAUCUCUCUAAUGUAAUGACAGAAAUCGCAUUCUAAAUAAAGCCAAGGAAACCUGUGUUCCA